GACCGAUUAGGGUUCCGACAGAAAUCAACUUCGUUGUGCAUUCGAUUCCUUGUUCAUCCGUCUCUGAACGUAUCCAUUUCCAGUCUAUUCUCCUCGUCCGCUGACGAAUAGUUUUGGAUAGUGGAUGACAGAUUCUCUCGAUGUCUAUUUAUGGGUGGAUGGAUAUUUAAUUUGGUAUCCAUUUGGGAGGUCGGGCAAAAAGACAGUGCAUCAGUUCACAACAUAUGACUAAUCCUUCCCAGACCAUGGAGCAGGUCCAUUGUUGAUUUCCUACAUAAAUUUGUCUCAUGUAGUUGAGCUUUCUAGGCGAAGUCAUCAAAACAGUCACAAAAGUUAAACACCCUGAAAUCAACUUCUCAAAGGCGAAGAAAGGGUACC